CGAUCGCUCUUCAUCUCCUAAUCUUCUUCUUCUUCUACUUUUGAUCAUCAUCAAUCAAAUAUAAUUCAAUGUGUUCUGUUCGUAAUCCAACCCCUAUCAGCCCCUAUACGUACGUCUCCGUGUUCUUCUUCUAUUACUUCGAUCAUCAUCAGGAAAUUUCAUUCAAUGUGUUCUGUUCGUAGUCUAACCCUACGCCUCCGACUAAUCUGAUCGAAGCAAUGUGUUCUCAAAAAAAGAAAGCUUCUCGUCGCCAGUAAAACGGACUCAUCACGAAAGCUUUCUCUUGUUUGCUUCUACGAAAUUUAGGAGUAUUUAAAUUCUUCUUCUCAAAGGCCAUUACAAUCGUUUAUGUGAAGAUAUCAUCGAUCCUGGACAGCUUUUUUUUUUUUGCUUUGUGUGUGGCUACAAAUUACGUUAAGAGUCCAACAAAUAAGAAAGCACAUGAUGGAAGUGCCUCAACAAUUAAUCAUCAUCGUCUCACUUCCCCUAAAUCAUCCAUUCCUUAGCCAGAUAAUCUUUUUUUCAUCUCUUUAUUUUUCUUAAAAAAAUUAAAUUUUUAUAUAUAUAUAUAUAUAUAUAAACUAAAAUAGAAAAAUUAAAUGAAAACUUAAACUUACAUACUAAAUUACAAAAAAUAUUACGGACAAAUUGGAUUUGGGAUACAGACAUUCCACAA